rnacentral:lncRNA from 1 species
ACUUUUGUCGUUAUCUUGCGCGUAUAUAAAUUAGUCGUUUGGCAGUCGUUGUUUAUAUCUUCGGCAAGUAAGGUUAACGAUACCCGCGUAAAAAAGGUUUUGUUUGUUAUUGCUGUUAGUGAAAAACAAUACAAUGGACAAUAAUAAUUUAAGUGAUUGUGAAGAUCAUGAGACAAAGCCAGUAAGCACAAAAAAGAGAAAAUGUACGGGUCGGGUAAGAGAUGCUACCAAGUUAAUGAGGCAUCAGUUACAUGUAACUGGUGAUGCCUGUCAAUGCCGACGAUACAAAUGUUUUAAAAAGAUAACUGCAGAUGAAAGAAUGGACAUUGUACGAAAGUUUAAUCUAAUAAAAAGUUGGAAUGAUCAGACAGCCUAUUUAACAGGUCUAAUUUCUCUUUGUCCAGUGGCUCAGCGCCGACCUCGAUUACCGGAAUAUGAGAGUGUUCUGAGAACUUCAACGUUUUAUUACAAGGUACGUAUAGUUCGUGAGAAUGUAGCAGUUGAAGAGCGAGUUUUGUUUCUCUACAUGGUUUAAUAAGACGUAGAAUACAAACCAUACAAAAGAGUCUCCAGAUGAGUGGAACUGCACCUAUUAAUAAACGCGGCAGACAUUUGAAUAGAAAACACAAACUAAGCGUUGAAACUAAAAACAAAAUUUUAGAACACAUUAAAAGUUUCAAGGCUAGAUCAAGCCACUACAGUCUUAAUAAAACUAAGAGAAUUAAUUAAAUUCUGCCGAGUUAAAUGUGAAAAAAAUUUAUGAUAUGUUUAAAGAAAAAUUUCCUUAAGUUAAGGCUAGUUACGAAACUUACUGUUCCAUAUUUUGCAGCAAGUUUAAUAUAUCCUUUGGAUAUUCCCGUAAUGAUACUUGUAGCUUCUGCGACCAAUUAAAAGUACAGAUUGAUGCAUGCCAAGAGGAAAAGGGCAUUAAGGAUUUGAUGUUUCAACAAAAACUACAUCUAGCGAAAGCCAAGGUAUUCUACGCACGUAAAAAGCAGGCCAGGUUGAGUAGUCGAACAACGGCAGACACAGAAGCAAUAUGCAUGGAUUUCGGAAGAAAUUUGCCGGCAGUUAUCAUUAUUUUCAUUUAUUGUACACAAACUCUCAAAUUCUGAAGUAUUCUUCUAUGCUUAUCCUGAGACAGUAGGAAAAAAGGGCGCAAACGAAGUCUGCUCAUUUUUAUUUGAUUAUAUUACCUUGAAGUUACCUGCUGAAGUUAGAAAUUUACAGAUAUCCUGUGAUGCGUGCUCCGGACAGAAUAAGAACUUUCCAGUGUUCAAAGUAAGAUAAGGCAAAAUUACCAAGGAACAUCCUCGCUUAGUUUUUCAUCGAGAUACUUACAAUGGUCUUUGGAACUCGUCAGUUAUUGUACCUCCAAGAAAAAAGAGAAUCACUGGUCCGCCGCUACCCGACGGUCAGUUUUACCACCCACCAGUCGCAACUUUUGAUGAUACACCUAUCCCUUUGGAAAAAUACAAGGACCUGCAGAAGUUAAAAAAAUUAUGCACCCCAGAGAGUUAGCUUUUUUAUUCUAAUUUAAAACACAAGUAGAGACAACUCCUUGGCUUGCUUUUUUCAGUUCAUCCCAUAAGAAACGAACCCAGAAGAGAAAUUUUAUUUUUUUUCUAUUAUAACAACCAUUCUUUUAUA